rnacentral:rRNA from 1 species
GACGAACGCUGGCGGCGUGCUUAACACAUGCAAGUCGUACGGUAAGGCCCUUUCGGGGGUACACGAGUGGCGAACGGGUGAAUAACACGUGAGUAACCUGCCCACAACUUUGGGAUAACGCUAGGAAACUGGUGCUAAUACUGGAUAUGUGCUCCUGCUGCAUGGUGGGGGUUGGAAAGCUCCGGCGGUUGUGGAUGGACUCGCGGCCUAUCAGCUUGUUGGUGGGGUAGUGGCCUACCAAGGCGGCGACGGGUAGCCGGCCUGAGAGGGUGACCGGCCACAUUGGGACUGAGAUACGGCCCAGACUCCUACGGGAGGCAGCAGUGGGGAAUAUUGCACAAUGGGCGCAAGCCUGAUGCAGCAACGCCGCGUGCGGGAUGACGGCCUUCGGGUUGUAAACCGCUUUCAGCAGGGACGAAGCUUUUUGUGACGGUACCUGCAGAAGAAGCACCGGCUAACUACGUG